AGAGUUUGAUCAUGGCUCAGGAUGAACGCUAGCUACAGGCUUAACACAUGCAAGUCGAGGGGAAACGACAUCGAAAGCUUGCUUUUGAUGGGCGUCGACCGGCGCACGGGUGAGUAACGCGUAUCCAACCUGCCCACCACUUGGGGAUAACCUUGCGAAAGUAAGACUAAUACCCAAUGACGUCUCUAGAAGACAUCUGAAAGGGAUUAAAGAUUUAUCGGUGAUAGAUGGGGAUGCGUCUGAUUAGCUUGUUGGCGGGGUAACGGCCACCAAGGCUACGAUCAGUAGGGGUUCUGAGAGGAAGGUCCCCCACAUUGGAACUGAGACACGGUCCAAACUCCGUACGGGAGGCCA
rnacentral:rRNA from 1 species